UUCAAUCCUCAAGCUCAGCUUGGUCUUGGAUAUCUUCCGAUUUUUGGAAGAGUCUGAAACAAUUUGGCGUCAUCUGUCAAGUCAUAGCGUGACAAAUCUCGCUAAAUGAAUUGGCAAGAUAACAGCCUAUGCUCCCCAUCUUUGAA
rnacentral:misc_RNA from 1 species